CCUAUUAUAACAAAUAGUGUCAGAGCUCAAAGAUGUUGAAUGCAAUGAAAAUAAUAUUUUAUCAGGGGAACAUAAUUAACUUGUUCAAGUUUGAAAAUGCAAGAUAGCAUCUAUGUUUUUCUUUUAGUUUAUUUUUUUUAUUUCCUCUCAAACCUUGGGAACUUUAUUUUCUGGUAUCUGCCCCUCUUUGGUAGUUGUCACAACCAAUGGAUAUUUAGAAUUUACAUCAUUUCCAAAUUUUUGUAGAAAUUUUAUUUCUUCACAUCCAAUAUUUGUAACUGACUUAACUAAUGGGACACUCUGCAGAAAGGAAGGCUAUCAGCUCAUAACUUUUAAUUUAAACAAAACAACCUUAUUAUAACAUCAAUACGAAUAACUUAUCUAAAUUAAAUACGGUCUCAUGCAAAGUUGAAAAUUUUCCAUAUUAUUUAAACAAAGUGCAUCAUUACUAAUUUUAAAAAAAGAAAAAAUUAUCACUCCUAUUAGGCAUCAAACUUGAUUCAUUUUUCUCUUCUUUUUCUACAUUCCUGUCUCAGGAUGUCUUUUGUCUCCAAUGCUCUUUUCUGCUUUUUUGCUUGAAGCUUCCCCUUCAGUCUUUUCUGGAAUCAGAAUUACAUGUUCUCUAUGUUUUUCUUUUUCUUUUUUCUGCCAUGAAUCUGUUGUCUCUAUCAUGUUUUUCUGAAUAAGUUUUGAUUUUUUUUCAAUAGUCUCUGAGCCCCAUUUGAGUUGUUUCCUCCUCUUCCAUAUACAUUUUGCCCCACUAAAAUUUAUUUUUGUCCACCCCAUCAACUUGUGGAAAUGCUUCUUCAGAUAUCUUUCAGAGUUUCUACUUUCUCAAUUGCAACCACUUUUUCUCUUGCUCCUGCUGUUCUCAAUGGGUUUUCUUUCAAACUCAAACUUAUCUCAUCCAUUUUUCCAAGGUAGCUUCACCAUCACUAUUUUCUCCAACAUAUAUUGUGAGGAGUCUUCAGUUUUAGCAAACAUGUAUAUACUAGUUGCUGGACCUCACCUGAUUGACUCAGGCCUUCCAUUCACGCUCCUGUACUGAUGACAUCUCUGCUUUUUCUUUCAGUACUUCUGUUUGGCUUCUUUCUUUAAUCUCGUCCUCUGCAAAUGAUACUGUUACAGUUAGGCUAGUCUGUGGUCUCCUUAUCUUUUAAGCAUGGCUUUGUUACUCUUUCAUCAUCCUUGCUUGGGUUCAUGGUUUCCAAGUCAAGGUUAGAAGUUUAAACAUUGUUGAUCAGACUGUUACUAUUAUUCUUGUUCUCCAUGUCUUCCUUACCUUACACAUGGCAUUGUCAUUUUUUCGUCAUCGUUGCCAAGGUUUUUGGUUUCCAACCAGGGUUAGAAAUUAAAACUUUAUUGAUCAGACCCCACAUUACAUUGGAAAAGCUUGUAGCUUGUUCGUUGUAUUGUAGAUCAACAUCUUUUUUUCCAUUGGUAUUGUGUUAUCAUUUGUCUGGGAUUAUCAUCUGCUUUUCUGUAGUCUCUGAGAUAACUUCAAUAGAUGCAUGUUAACUUGAAACUACUUCAAAAUGCCAAUCAAGGUACUUGUCACUGUAACCUUUGGAAAAUUCCCCUGGAUGAAUUGACGUUUGGUUCUUCAACACAUGCUGCCUGUCAUGAACCAACUAUCCCCAAAACUUAAGCUUUUGGAUGAAGACACGUGAAUGGUUUUAUAUUAUAUCUCUAAGACGUCCCUCACACGAGAACACUUUGGACUUGAAGCAUGGAUAAUGUACUUGCUCACCUUUGUGUCAAAAUUCAACUUUUCGUUAGAAGAAUGAAGGUGGAAAGGAUUGAACGUUCGACCACUUAGUCAUAGAGGCUCUAAUAUCAUGUCAAAAACCAAAUUAUACCGUGAAAUUAUUUUGCUAUAUUGCCUAUGUCGUGGUCGUAUUCUUCUGUGUUUGUGUCAUUGUUAACUUGAAUUUUGUCAUUCUCUGUUUCAAUGUUCUGUUUCAUUCUCAGUUAUCUGCUUUAGUGUUUGAUUCAAUAUUUGAGCAACCUGACAAUAUCCCAAUUUACGUACAUUUUCAGUUGAUGGAAUUGUCAGGUUAGGAUGAUGGCACAGAACUUUUAUCUUUGAGUCCAAGUGAAGGUGAUAGUUAUAUUUGUUGUUUUAUCUCCAUGUUGUUUUCCUUCUGCCUUUGCUAUGUAUUCAAGACAUGAAGGAUUUUGAUUUAACUUACAACUGGGUUUGAUGGACCCUGCUGGAGGAUAUUAAUUUGGAAUAUUAUCAAACUGGGCCAACAUUGAGUAUUUACUUCAGAGUGGGGGAAUAUUCAGUAGAUGACUGCAAUAUUUCAGUGAUCCUGAAAAUCCUAACUGUACCUUCCACUAUGUAUGCAUCUCACACAUACAGUGAAAUAAUUGUGAUGAUAAAGAAAUCUCAACCAUCUAUUUUUCUGUCUAAAUAUCACAUAACCAUAGACCGGAAGAAAUAUUACAGCAUAACCAAAUAUACAAGGAGCAUCAAGCAGAAACAAACAUAAGACUUUGGACAGAGAUAACUAAUCAAAGUAUUUACUUCAGCUAAAUACAUGUAAUAGCAAGCGAAGUCUGCAUGAAUCCAGUCAUUAAAAACUUUGGUAGAAAGACAUACCAUAGCAGAUGCAUCUUCUGGAGAAUUGGUUUCAGCUUCCAUGUUGCACGCGUGACCUACUCGGUAGAGGGUGAAAUUGCAUAAAGAAUAUUGGUGAAUUCAACAAGAAAUAAAUAUCUUGUGUAGUUUUGCUUCAAUUUUCGUGUCCUAAAUCUUAGAUAGCUAGCUCAAUUCUGUAAGCUCUGCCAGAGCUUUGUGAAAUCUAAUCAAAACUAAGCCUUAGUGUAUAUAUAUAUAUGUGUGCAUGUGUGUAUUAAUAUACUUGGAUA